GUGGGGAAUAUUGGACAAUGGGCGAAAGCCUGAUCCAACCAUGCCGCGUGUGUGAAGAAGGUCUUCGGAUUGUAAAGCACUUUAAGUUGGGAGGAAGGGCAGUAAGUUAAUACCUUGCUGUUUUGACGUUACCGACAGAAUAAGCACCGGCUAACUUCGUGCCAGCAGCCGCGGUAAUACGAAGGGUGCAAGCGUUAAUCGGAAUUACUGGGCGUAAAGCGCGCGUAGGUGGUUUUGUAAGUUGGAGGUGAAAUCCCCGGGCUCAACCUGGGAACUUGCUCCAAAACUGCAUGACUAGAGUACGGUAGAGGGUAGUGGAAUUUCCUGUGUAGCGGUGAAAUGCGUAGAUAUAGGAAGGAACACCAGUGGCGAAGGCGACUACCUGGACUGAUACUGACACUGAGGUGCGAAAGCGUGGGGAGCAAACAGGAUUAGAAACCCGAGUAGUCC
rnacentral:rRNA from 1 species